UACGUAGGAUGCUAGCGUUGUCCGGAUUUACUGGGCGUAAAGCGCGCACAGGCGGCACUGUAAGUAAGGUGUGAAAUCUCCCUGCUCAACGGGGAGGGUGCACUUUAGACUGCAGAGCUAGAGGACGGUAGAGGGGGGUGGAAUUGCUGGUGUAGCGGUGAAAUGCGUAGAGAUCAGCAGGAACACCCGUGGCGAAGGCGGCCCCCUGGGCCGAACCUGACGCUGAGGCGCGAAGGCUAGGGGAGCGAACGGG
rnacentral:rRNA from 1 species